UAAUACAAGACUCCCUAUAUUUUAAAUAAUCGACUAAUAUUUGAGGCUCUGAAAGUUCAUUCUGUUUAGCCAGUAUCAGUGAUUCAGUUUAAGUGAGUCUAAUAGAUGAAGCAUGUUUAAUGUAAUUACACAUCCACUUCUUCUGAUGUAAAAUCACGUGAAGCAUUACUAAUCCCAAAACAGAUACCUGCAGGGAGGACUAUCAAGAACAGCUGUUUGGAC